GGUUAAGCGACUAAGCGUACACGGUGGAUGCCCUGGCAGUCAGAGGCGAUGAAGGACGUGCUAAUCUGCGAUAAGCGCCGGUAAGGUGAUAUGAACCGUUAUAACCGGCGAUUUCCGAAUGGGGAAACCCAGUGUGAUUCGUCACACUAUCAUUAACUGAAUCCAUAGGUUAAUGAGGCGAACCGGGGGAACUGAAACAUCUAAGUACCCCGAGGAAAAGAAAUCAACCGAGAUUCCCCCAGUAGCGGCGAGCGAACGGGGAGGAGCCCAGAGCCUGAAUCAGCAUGUGUGUUAGUGGAAGCGUCUGGAAAGGCGCGCGAUACAGGGUGACAGCCCCGUACACAAAAGCGCACAUGCUGUGAGCUCGAUGAGUAGGGCGGGACACGUGGUAUCCUGUCUGAAUAUGGGGGGACCAUCCUCCAAGGCUAAAUACUCCUGACUGACCGAUAGUGAACCAGUACCGUGAGGGAAAGGCGAAAAGAACCCCGGCGAGGGGAGUGAAAAAGAACCUGAAACCGUGUACGUACAAGCAGUGGGAGCACCCUUUGGGGUGUGACUGCGUACCUUUUGUAUAAUGGGUCAGCGACUUAUAUUCUGUAGCAAGGUUAACCGCAUAGGGGAGCCGUAGGGAAACCGAGUCUUAACCGGGCGUUAAGUUGCAGGGUAUAGACCCGAAACCCGGUGAUCUAGCCAUGGGCAGGUUGAAGGUUGGGUAACACUAACUGGAGGACCGAACCGACUAAUGUUGAAAAAUUAGCGGAUGACCUGUGGCUGGGGGUGAAAGGCCAAUCAAACCGGGAGAUAGCUGGUUCUCCCCGAAAGCUAUUUAGGUAGCGCCUCGUGAACUCAUCUCCGGGGGUAGAGCACUGUUUCGGCUAGGGGGCCAUCCCGGCUUACCAACCCGAUGCAAACUGCGAAUACCGGAGAAUGUUAUCACGGGAGACACACGGCGGGUGCUAACGUCCGUCGUGAAGAGGGAAACAACCCAGACCGCCAGCUAAGGUCCCAAAGUCAUGGUUAAGUGGGAAACGAUGUGGGAAGGCCCAGACAGCCAGGAUGUUGGCUUAGAAGCAGCCAUCAUUUAAAGAAAGCGUAAUAGCUCACUGGUCGAGUCGGCCUGCGCGGAAGAUGUAACGGGGCUAAACCAUGCACCGAAGCUGCGGCAGCGAACGUAUCACUUAAAGCGAUUCAGCGGGUUACGAUUGACGGAGCGAAGCGACGUCAAAGCGUAUACAAAGUCGAGUCGGUUUAAGGAUACGUUCGUUGGGUAGGGGAGCGUUCUGUAAGCCUGCGAAGGUGGCCUGUGAGGGUUGCUGGAGGUAUCAGAAGUGCGAAUGCUGACAUAAGUAACGAUAAAGCGGGUGAAAAGCCCGCUCGCCGGAAGACCAAGGGUUCCUGUCCAACGUUAAUCGGGGCAGGGUGAGUCGACCCCUAAGGCGAGGCCGAAAGGCGUAGUCGAUGGGAAACGGGUUAAUAUUCCCGUACUUGGUGUUACUGCGAAGGGGGGACGGAGAAGGCUAUGUUGGCCGGGCGACGGUUGUCCCGGUUUAAGCGUGUAGGUGUGUGUUCCAGGUAAAUCCGGUUCACUUUAACACUGAGGCGUGAUGACGAGGCACUACGGUGCUGAAGCAACAAAUGCCCUGCUUCCAGGAAAAGCCUCUAAGCAUCAGGUAACAUCAAAUCGUACCCCAAACCGACACAGGUGGUCAGGUAGAGAAUACCAAGGCGCUUGAGAGAACUCGGGUGAAGGAACUAGGCAAAAUGGUGCCGUAACUUCGGGAGAAGGCACGCUGACACGUAGGUGAAGUGAUUUACUCAUGGAGCUGAAGUCAGUCGAAGAUACCAGCUGGCUGCAACUGUUUAUUAAAAACACAGCACUGUGCAAACACGAAAGUGGACGUAUACGGUGUGACGCCUGCCCGGUGCCGGAAGGUUAAUUGAUGGGGUCAGCGCAAGCGAAGCUCCUGAUCGAAGCCCCGGUAAACGGCGGCCGUAACUAUAACGGUCCUAAGGUAGCGAAAUUCCUUGUCGGGUAAGUUCCGACCUGCACGAAUGGCGUAAUGAUGGCCAGGCUGUCUCCACCCGAGACUCAGUGAAAUUGAACUCGCUGUGAAGAUGCAGUGUACCCGCGGCAAGACGGAAAGACCCCGUGAACCUUUACUAUAGCUUGACACUGAACAUUGAGCCUUGAUGUGUAGGAUAGGUGGGAGGCUUUGAAGUGUGGACGCCAGUCUGCAUGGAGCCGACCUUGAAAUACCACCCUUUAAUGUUUGAUGUUCUAACGUGGACCCGUUACCCGGGUUGCGGACAGUGUCUGGUGGGUAGUUUGACUGGGGCGGUCUCCUCCUAAAGAGUAACGGAGGAGCACGAAGGUUGGCUAAUCCUGGUCGGACAUCAGGAGGUUAGUGCAAUGGCAUAAGCCAGCUUGACUGCGAGCGUGACGGCGCGAGCAGGUGCGAAAGCAGGUCAUAGUGAUCCGGUGGUUCUGAAUGGAAGGGCCAUCGCUCAACGGAUAAAAGGUACUCCGGGGAUAACAGGCUGAUACCGCCCAAGAGUUCAUAUCGACGGCGGUGUUUGGCACCUCGAUGUCGGCUCAUCACAUCCUGGGGCUGAAGUAGGUCCCAAGGGUAUGGCUGUUCGCCAUUUAAAGUGGUACGCGAGCUGGGUUUAGAACGUCGUGAGACAGUUCGGUCCCUAUCUGCCGUGGGCGCUGGAGAACUGAGGGGGGCUGCUCCUAGUACGAGAGGACCGGAGUGGACGCAUCACUGGUGUUCGGGUUGUCAUGCCAAUGGCACUGCCCGGUAGCUAAAUGCGGAAGAGAUAAGUGCUGAAAGCAUCUAAGCACGAAACUUGCCCCGAGAUGAGUUCUCCCUGAGACUUUAAGUCUCCUGAAGGAACGUUGAAGACGACGACGUUGAUAGGCCGGGUGUGUAAGCGCAGCGAUGCGUUGAGCUAACCGGUACUAAUGAACCGUGAGGCUUAACCUU
rnacentral:rRNA from 1 species